GUUCCCAACAUCAGUGAUUCACAGUUCCCGAUGUUAACGCUCAUACUCUUUAAAAAGAUCCGUCACAGUAAAUAUCUGCUCUAAAAGGAAGGGUGGGCUGGGAUUACCCAAGUUCUAUGUUGAAUAAGGCGCUGGCUCUUCCUCUUCAGCAGGCAUCAGGUUCAGCUGGCAGUGGGUAUGUGAAAACAGACGACUGGCUCCCACCUCCAGAGUUUCUAAAUCGGUCCAGGGGUCAGAAGUUGCCUUUGUGUUGAGCCACCUUGGAAUAUUUCCAUGAUUGCUAUAACUUAGUAUUAGACAGAAAUCCUACGCCUUCCUGACACAUUGCUUAAUUGAGGAUAGAAGAAAACAACAGCAUUCACUUGUUGAGUUCACAUAAAAGAUUCAAGUCACCAGGUCCAGCCCACACUCCAGAGAAGGAGAUUGCACAAGGACAGAUGGAGAUCUUCAGAGAGCAUCUGACAAGCCACCCUACUAUGCUGCAAUUAAGUGCAAGAAUCAGGAUUUGAAUCCAAGUAUUUGGACAGCAGAGCCCAUUCUCCUAGGUGUGCCAAUGGUUCAAAGCCGCCUCUGCCCUCUCGGUGCUGGAGCACAUUGCAGUCAGCUGACUAUAGGACUCUUUAUUUCUAACCUUCUACUUCUGCAAACCCACAUCUAAUAAACAGAAUCUUCUGUAGAAGAUUUAGAAUAUUGAUCAGGUUAUAGUCAAAUUUCCACUUGAUCAUCACUUUAAGCUGAUUUUACUUGUAUCUGUCACAAGGCAUGAUGCAUACAUUUUUAUCUUUUAACUCCUAAAUGAAGAUCUUUUUCCUGGAUUAUUUAGUCUCCUCAAAUCAAUUAUUUGGAACACAAAUCAUUUCUAAAGUAAAACAUAUUUCCUAUGUUAAACACUAAUUUUUAAUACCAAGAAAAUAAUUCUAGAUUAAAUAUAGUGAUCAAUCUAAAUUAAUCUUUUACUAAUACAAGGCAGUUUUAUAUUUCCAUAUAUAUUAUAAAGUUAAACAUAAUCCUUAAUUACUAUUACUUUCCAAACUGUAAUGGCACAUGAGUAUCUGCACAGAUAUGCAAGUUGAACUGUAUGUAUCAUUAAAGACAAGAGGAAAUUAUUAAGUCUUAUAACAGUAAUCUUUUAAGUUCUCCUUUCCUCUUAUUUAUUUUUCUUAAUGCACAAUGUGAAUAUUCAUUAAAUAAUCAGAGCCCAUAUCCAAAGGUAUCAGAAUUUUGCCAGUGGAUAUGCAUUAAAUAUUUCCCACUGAAUUAUAUUAUAAUAUUUUAAACAGUUUUUCUAUUUUCAAAUCAUUUUCAGUUCAUGGAGAUUUCAAAUAUCUCAGGUUUAGGCUCUUCCGCCCCCCAGGCUCAGACUCUCAUUGAAGUGAAUCCUGAUUUAUACAUAAACAGCUAGACUAGUGGAGCGUCUAUUUAUAAAACUUUACAGUGGUUCAACUAUAAGACAAAGCAUUCCCACUUAACCUAUUUGUCUAUAAAUGCAAAUUUCUGUCUUUCAAGUCUGAAAGCAGAAUAAACCUAUUGUUAAGAACAGACUCUGAAACACGAAAAUGCUAUAUUUCUCCAGUAAAUUUUAACAGGUCAAUCCAAAUUGUUAUUGCUUGCUUUUAAAAGGAAAUCAUCAAAGAGCUCCACAUUUCUGAAUAAUCUCUUUAGAUUUGUGGUAUUUCAUGUCAACAUUCAGACUAUUU
rnacentral:lncRNA from 1 species